rnacentral:rRNA from 1 species
UACAGAGGUCUCAAGCGUUGUUCGGAUCCAUUGGGCGUAAAGGGUGCGUAGGCGGCGCGGUAAGUCGGGUGUGAAAUCUCGGAGCUUAACCCCGAAACUGCAUUCGAUACUGCCGUGCUUGAGGACUGGAGAGGAGACUGGAAUUUACGGUGUAGCGGUGAAAUGCGUAGAUAUCGUAAGGAAGACCAGUGGCGAAGGCGGGUCUCUGGACAGUUCCUGACGCUGAGGCACGAAGGCCAGGGGAGCAAACGGG